rnacentral:rRNA from 1 species
AACGAACGCUGGCGGCAUGCCUAACACAUGCAAGUCGAACGAGAUCUUCGGGUCUAGUGGCGCACGGGUGCGUAACGCGUGGGAAUCUGCCCUUUGGUUCGGAAUAACAGUUGGAAACGACUGCUAAUACCGGAUGAUGACGAAAGUCUAAAGAUUUAUCGCCAGGGGAUGAGCCCGCGUAGGAUUAGCUAGUUGGUGUGGUAAAGGCGCACCAAGGCGACGAUCCUUAGCUGGUCUGAGAGGAUGAUCAGCCACACUGGGACUGAGACACGGCCCAGACUCCUACGGGAGGCAGCAGUGGGGAAUAUUGGACAAUGGGCGAAAGCCUGAUCCAGCAAUGCCGCGUGAGUGAUGAAGGCCUUAGGGUUGUAAAGCUCUUUUACCCGGGAUGAUAAUGACAGUACCGGGAGAAUAAGCUCCGGCUAACUCCGUGCCAGCCGCUGCGGUAA